GAUCAAGCGAAGAAGAGCGUAGGGAGGAUGCCUAGGCACCAGGAGCCGAAGAAGGACGCGGAAAGCAGCGAAACGCGGCGGGGAGACGCAAACAGUCAGAGAGCCGCCGAUGUCCGAAUGGGGAAACCCGGCUGGGAAAAGCCCAGUCACUGCAGGAUGAAUAAAUAGUUCUGUAGGGGGAACGUGGGGAACUGAAACAUCUAAGUACCCACAGGAAGAGAAAACAAAACCAGCAGCUGGAGACAGCUGUGUGAUUUUCUAAGUAGCGGCGAGCGAAAGGGAAAGAGGCCAAACCGGAUAACGAAAGUUAUGCGGGGUUGAGGACUGCGAGAGAAAGGACAGGAAGCUAACAGAAUGGCAUUGGGAAAG
rnacentral:rRNA from 1 species